AUUGACAGCUCACUGUUCUGCUCUGUGGACAUGGAAUCCCAAUGUUAGGGCAGAGACACAAGCAUCUCGUCAUUAUAUCCAGUAUCUCUGACACAGUGUAUUGACCUGUACAAACCUCCUACAAGCAAACGACCAUGCAGACAACCAUCCGUGGAGAUUGGUGGACAAAGGGCUGGACAACGGGCCACACCCAUAAAACACAUGGUUCCCAUGAAAGCGAACACCACAAUCGAUGGGGACGCAGAGCAGUACCAGUUCUUAUUUGCAAUGACGUCCUAGGAACAGUGGGUUAACUGCCUUGUUCAGGGGCAGAACAACAGAUUUUUACCUUGUCAGCUCAGGGAUUUGAUUCAACAACCUUCCGGUUACUGGCCCAACGCUCUAACCACUAGACUACAUGCCGCCCCAAUUGGGAUGGAUCCCGAGGCAAAUUUGGCUGACCAGUGAACCUCCAGGUGUUCAUCAUUAAUACUGUGACCAAGACUGAUGCAACUCGGAAAAAAACAUUCAAGACAGAGUUAAUGAGUACUUGAGGUCACUGAGAACGUCUUGACAUGGCCUGCUCUCCCUUAUGUAAGGAAUUAAGCAUCUUUGCCAUGUUUACUAUGUACUGUGGGCUAUGUUUACUAUGUACUGUGGGCUAUGUUUACUAUGUACUGUGGGCUAUGUUUACUAUGUACUGUGGGCUAUGUUUACUUGUCAGACUGCACAGUAGCUUAUUAAACGUGUGCAUUUUGAAAUAGUAAAAAAUUAAAUAAUAAUCAAUAUCAUGUUUCUACCACAGUGUGUUUCUGGUUGAUGGCCAAU